CGUAGGGGCGUAGCGUUGUUCCGGAACGUACAUUGGGCGGUAAAGAAGCGUGUAGGCGGCCCGGUAACGUCCGCUGUAAAAGUACAAAGGACUCAACCUUUGUAAUGUCAGUGGAUACUGCCGGGCGUAGAGUCCGGAAGAGGCGAGUGGAACUCCUGGUGUAGCGGUGGAAUGCGCAGAUAUCAGGAAGAACACCAACGGCGAAGGCAGCUCGCUAGGACGGUACUGACGCUGAGACGCGAAAGCGUGGGGAGCGAACAGGAUU
rnacentral:rRNA from 1 species